ensembl:lncRNA
GCUCAAUUAGGACUUCCCGAGACAGUGGUAACGCUCGCCGCUGAGUGCAAAAGCGUGGCCACGCCAUUCGCCUCAAAGGCCAUCCUCACCAGGACGACGCCCCCAACCAAAUUCAGACAGUGGGCGGCGGUACAACUUUUUGGAGUUUUAAAAUCCUGUCACAUCGGAGUUUCAGUUGGUCAUGCAAUACUGAAUAUAUAAAUACUAUAUUAGCCUUCCUGCUAAGAGAUUCCCUUUCAAAAUGCGACACACUGGCCUUUUGAUACAUCAACCUUUUAUUUACAGGGCUGUUUCUCUUGAUCUGUCUCCAGAAAGCCGGCACUGUGAAGAUGAAUGUUGUCCUUUUCUUGGGGGGUACUUAAAAUGGUACGCUAUUCAUGAAGUCAUGUCACUCAGUGAACAGCCCUACAAUUACAAGAUAAAGGUUUCACUAUAAUGAAAAGUAUAAUUCUCUUUAUCUCCCAUCAGGAACUGUCAAAUAUAUUUCUUACUGCCCUCUCUGACGGCCCCUUUUCUCGUCAUCUAAAUAAGGUGUCUCAGACAUUCUUCGUGGUGCUGUGUGGGGUUGUUGAAACAUCCGCUCUGGCCUUGUUUUGUCUGGCCAACCCUAUCAACGUCUCUCUCGUGGCUCUUGUGUCUGUGGCGAUAGUGUUUAAUAUCAUAGAGCUGGUGAUCGUCUGUCUGCCAAUUGGACCCAGUCAUGAACUAAAGGAGAUCAGUGACCACGUUGUCAAAGUGUCUUCCUUCAUCCACCAGACCUUCACAACUGCUGCCAUCUUUGUUGGUAUUUUGGAGGUUGACAAACACAAAGGGACCCGGACGGACUCUCGGAUUCUGAAAGUGAUGGUAGCUUUCACAGUGUUACUACUGCUGUUUGAAAUGUGGGUUUUCAUAAGCAGCACUCAAAGGAAAGCGGUGCUGAGAAGGAAAACAGGGUGUCCAGCAAACCGUGAGAGGGGCAGGCCAAGAGGAAAACAGGUGAGCGCCUGUCACAUGACAAUAUGUCCAGCUGCAUUGACCGUUUUACAACAGCAAGUCAACACGCCGGUUCUUUUCUUUUCUUUUUCUCCCAGAAGAAGCUCGGUGCAGCUAAAGGGAUCGUCAUCGCUGUCUCAGUCAUCUUCAUCGUCGCAUUCUUGUGUUUUGGUGUCACUGUGGCUGUCAUGA